rfam:Cicer arietinum chromosome Ca6, whole genome shotgun sequence.
UCAUUAGCGGAUGUAGCAUCAUCAAGAUUCACAUGAAAAAUGCUGAUUGGACUCUGAUCUGAUCUUAACCACUCCAUAGCUCUUUUUUUAUUGAGAAUCUUGAUGAUGCUGCAUCAGCCAUAAA